rnacentral:rRNA from 1 species
AUUGAACGCUGGCGGCAGGCCUAACACAUGCAAGUCGAGCGGAUGAAGGGAGCUUGCGCCUGGAUUCAGCGGCGGACGGGUGAGUAAUGCCUAGGAAUCUGCCUGGUAGUGGGGGAUAACGUCAGGAAACGGGCGCUGAUACCGCAUACGUCCAGAGGGAGAACGUGGGGGAUCUUCGGACCUCACGCUAUUAGAUGAGCCUAGGUCGGAUUAGCUAGUUGGUGAGGUAAAGGCCUACCAAGGCGACGAUCCGUAACUGGUCUGAGAGGAUGAUCAGUCACACUGGAACUGAGACACGGUCCAGACUCCUACGGGAGGCAGCAGUGGGGAAUAUUGGACAAUGGGCGAAAGCCUGACGCAGCCAUGCCGCGUGUGUGAAGAAGGUCUUCGGAUUGUAAAGCACUUUAAGUUGGGAGGAAGGUAAGUAAGUUAAUCCCUUGCUGUUUUGACGUUACCAACAGAAAAAGCACCGGCUAACUUCGUG